rnacentral:lncRNA from 1 species
CUCCCAAUUAUCAAGAGAUUUAUUCUAUUUGUAUUAGCGUAGUCUAUCAUUUGAGUGAAUGUCCCACGGCUGCAUAGUUUUCACCUUUCAUCCAAGAAUAAGUUCAAGUUGCUCUAGGCUACUCUAAGUCUGUUAAUUAUCCAUUCUCAAACACAUAUAACUCAAGUUGGAGGAACCAUCAUAAUUUUUCUUAGAAACCCCAACUGACUCGGCUCAGACCCAAAUUAUUCUUAUGCAAAACUUUCAAAAUAGGCCC